rnacentral:rRNA from 1 species
CUGUGUGUGUUGUCCAUGAGAAAUCUUGAGUAUGCGGGUUCUGGGGAUAGUAUGCUCGCAAGAGUGGAAACUUGAAGAGAUUGACGGAAGGACACCACAAGGAGUGGAGUGUGCGCUUAAUUUGACUCAACGCGGGGCAACUUACCGGCUCUGAAGGAUGCCUGUGAGUGCAUGGCA